UUGCUUGAUCCUGCCAAUAGUCACAUGCAUGUCUCAAAGAUUAAGCAUGCAUGCAUGUCUAAGUAUGAACUAAAUUACAUUAUGAAACUAUGGAUGGCUCAUUAAAUCAAUUAUGUUUUUUUUUAUGGUACCUUACUACUCAGAUAAUUGUAUUAAUUAUGGAGAUAAUAUGCACACUAAGUCCUCACUCUUCAGAAGGGAUGCAUUUAUUAGAUAAAAAUUCAUCAUUGGCUUGCUUGCUUCUCUGGUGAAUCAUGACAAAUCGAUGGAUCGCACAGCCCCUUUGUUGGUGAUACUUCAUUCAAAUUUAUUCCCUAUCAAAUUUUAAUGAUAGGAUAGAAUCCUACCAUGAUAGUGAUGGGUGAGGAAGAAUUAGGGUUCAAGUCUAGAGAGGGAGCUUGAGAGAUGGAUACCACAUCCAAGAAAGGCAAUAGACACAUAAAUUACCUAAUCCUAGCAUGGGGAGGUACUGAAAAUAAAUAACAAUAUUAAGCUCGUUAAUCAAGAAUUAAAGUUGGUGGCUUGAAUACGAUCAACUACAUAUGUCAACCAAUGAUCAAUAGAUGUUUAUCUAAGGAAUCUACC
rnacentral:ncRNA from 1 species